rnacentral:rRNA from 1 species
GACGAACGCUGGCGGCGUGCCUAAUACAUGCAAGUAGAACGCUGAAGGAGGAGCUUGCUUCUCCGGAUGAGUUGCGAACGGGUGAGUAACGCGUAGGUAACCUGCCUGGUAGCGGGGGAUAACUAUUGGAAACGAUAGCUAAUACCGCAUAACAGUAGAUGUUGCAUGACAUUUGCUUAAAAGGUGCAAUUGCAUCACUACCAGAUGGACCUGCGUUGUAUUAGCUAGUUGGUGAGGUAACGGCUCACCAAGGCGACGAUACAUAGCCGACCUGAGAGGGUGAUCGGCCGCACUGGGACUGGGACACGGCCCAGACUCCUACGGGAGGCAGCAGUAGGGAAUCUUCGGCAAUGGACGGAAGUCUGACCGAGCAACGCCGCGUGAGUGAAGAAGGUUUUCGGAUCGUAAAGCUCUGUUGUAAGAGAAGAACGAGUGUGAGAGUGGAAAGUUCACACUGUGACGGUAUCUUACCAGAAAGGGACGGCUAACUACGUG